rfam:Stegodyphus mimosarum contig5116, whole genome shotgun sequence.
GCCUUCGUGGUGUAAUGGCCAACACACUCGGCGCGUAUUCGAGAGGUCCGAGGUUCGAGUCCUGGCCGAGGGCA